GAGAGGUGUGUCUACAAUAAGAACUGCUAAUUCUUUAUUACCUGAGUUAAACUCCCAGGCUCACUC
rnacentral:tRNA from 1 species